CUUCUCUUUUUCAUUCCUUCUUGACAGUAGAGAUCUGUUGACUUGAUAUUAUUUCAUUUCGGUGUUUGAUUUUAUAAAUGGCUGUGAUGAGGAGCUUUCAGGAGAGGAUCUGAAUUUUGUUUUACAGCAGAUCUGAGGGUUCUCCUCUUAAAGAAAUCUCUAUUUUCAGGACUUUUUUCUUAGGAAGUGCACAUAUUUAAUUUGAAGAGAGUAUAUUUAAAACUCAUAAAUUAGUUCGUGAAUGAUAAAAAUUAUUUUGGACAUUGUAGAAGUGUUGAGGGACCUUAUAAUUUAAAAAUGUUAUAAAAUCAGUAAACUCAAUAAUACUGCAGAGUUAAACACCAAAUAUAUAUCAGGUAGAACAAUGUUUUCAAAAAACAACAACAACUUAGUAUUUCCUAAAUAAAAUUUUCACUGUUAUGACUAUGUGAAGAGCAGUGUCCUACUCACACUGGAACCAUGUUUUUAUCCCAGACAGUUUCAUUCAGGAAGGAAAAGGAAGAAAAAUGAACUUAUUUUUGAGUGGAGUUUUGACUUCUUUUUUAAAUAACCUUUUGACUUCCCAAAAUCCCUUUGGUGACAGCACUGCUGGUUUUGCAUAAGGAUACAGUGAAGCCAGAAGUCCCUUCAAAACAAGAAAAAACACGUACAUGGAGUAGACAGAGCUGUGAAAGUCAAUAUCACUGUACUAUACAGAUUUUCUUAUGCACAGGAAAAGACAUCAAUAAAGUCCCUAUUAGUAGUCAGUAGUCUUAUGGUCUGAUUUUGAAGCCAUAAGCAUGGUAAAUCUCUAAAGGGUUAUUACAUCUGAAGUAUAAAUAUGCUGAAUAUAUAUCCACAUUGCCCCCAAAUACCUUUGCAGCUCUCCAAGUGAGUGAUACCAUUUAGGCAAGCUAUCACAUUAUAUGAAAUACAUUUUGGUUCAAUUUGCUGAAAAUAGAUUAACAGUGUUCUUUUAUCCAUUGUGCUGGAUACACUAAAGACCAACUUCCUCAGGUAUUCAUUUAAUAGGUCUCCAUUGCAUAGACUUUUGUCUGAUGGAAGGAAUAUCGUUGCUUUAAGUGGGCUGGUUGAUUUCUUUAACAGCUGUUCAGUUUGCUGGUCUCUAACAUCUAGAGUUAAGUUUUCUAUUCCAUCUUCAAUAAGACUGGGUAGAAGAAGGUAAGAAAUAGGAAGAAAAAAGCCCCCAUCGCUUAAUUAGAACAGCUGGAUUUUGCAUUUAACUGUGAAUCAGCUUCAGGCCAGAGAUGACAGAGUUUACGGUUCAGGGCAAACUUCAGUAUUUGGAAAUUUUCUUCUACAUUUAUUUGGAAAGCAGUUUAAAAAAAAAGGAUAGUUAUGAAGCAGACACUUUCAGUAAUAACGACCACAUAAUUUGAAGUUGGCUCCUUAAAUUGCAUCUGAUUAUAGCAAUUAUUGGAUGAAAUCUUGCCCUUCUCAUUUUUUCUUUAAACAAAACUAGAAAUUGGGUGUGAUGGAGAAUCAGCUGGCUGAGGAAUAAGAGUGCUCUGUCUUGCAUUUGAAAGAGAUUGCUUGAAAACUGUAACCUGGGAGUCUCAGCAGAACCCCAGAAAGCCUCAAGCCUUCCAGAAGAAAUGUGUUUGGAGUCAGGCUGAAUUUCAUCCAUGGAAAGCUCUUUCUGUGACACAUUUGUGUCAUACAGUCAUAAUUUCCCUAAAAAAUUCCUAUAGAGUAUGGAAAAUUCCUUUUCCUCUUGUUCAACCUCUAAAAAUAACAUUUGGUAUCUUGAUAGAGAUGUGGGGAAGGUGAUGAGAGGCACACAAGAAACUUAUAAAAAUGUUGUUUUAGCUCCUCUGCAUCCAUUAGUUGGGGUGAAUAGCUUUUUUUCCUUCUUUUUUCCUUUUUCCUGGUUGUCAUUUUUUGUUUGUAUGUUCUUCAAAAUAGAAUCAGAGAAUCAUAGAAAUACUGCUAUAAAUUCUCAUUAUUCAAGUGUAUUAGUCUUUACAAUCUUUUUCCAGGCAGUGAGGCAGAAACGUAGCCUGAAUAAGGAUCUAAAUUUUGAGCUGUUUAUCUGAAGAAAACUGGGUGCCUGUCAUUGGCUGCUAAGCAUGUAAGUGUCAGGUCUGUUCUCUACCUUUGCCUCAUUGCUUCCUCUGUUUGAUUAACUCAGCAGCAGUUGGACAUUAGCUGGAUGAAGACAGGGCUUCAAAUCAACAUGCCUAUUGAGGAACAUAGGAUGAAAUAAAGACUUAAAUUCUGAGGCUAAAAGGAGCUGGGAUUUUCCUGCAGUGAAAGAUAGUUGCUGAGUUAAAAAAUAAUAAUGAAAAGCUAGUUUCUAUGGUACCUAUUCUGUAUUACACUUUAGGGACUGAGAUUCUUCUAGGUAGUCAUUAUUUGUGUCCCUGGGUAAAGAAAUCAGGGAACAUGUAGAUAGUCAUUGUUCGGACUGGAGCAAACCAGGCACAGCAAGUUGAUUAAACCACAUGAACCAGGCUCUGCUUCUCUCUCUGCCUUGGAAGAAAUGCAAAAUUCUCCCAAAGGAGGAGGAUUCUUAUUUAGGUUGCACUUUGUACAUAGUUUUUCAGUAUGAGCACUGAAGGCAGAUUUUCUUUCUGCUGAUGUGCUGUUAAAGAUUCUCCAAGGGAAGGACUCAGCCAUGCAUGACUGCUGUAAAAGCAAGGAAUUUUGAGACAUGAAACGGAAAAAGGUGGGUUGAAGAAAGGGUGGAACAGGACAGCAUGAAAUCAGCAGUCUGUUUGACCAGAGGCAAGAGCUACAAGCAAAUCUGAUGUGAGCAAGGUUUGUAUGAGGAAGAAAGGUACGUAUGAAAAAUGUGAGGAUAAUAAGGAAGAAAAAGUAAUUUUGUUUAAUGAAGAUAUGGGCUAGCUGGGACUCUGUUUUGUAGACUUCAUUUGUUUGCUGUGGCACUGACACAACCAUUUGUUUCAGUAAGGUUUAUUGCAGAAACUAUUGUGUUGUUUUUUUCUGUGAGUAGAGGUAAAAGACCUCAGGCUUCAUUAUGAGGUAAUGAACAUUCUGUCAACAUCUUCUAAUGAAUAAAAAUGCUAUAUCUAAAAAUCAAAAAGUUCAUACAAUACUUAGUCCAUUGUCUGAUAAAACUAGAUAAGGUAUAACUCAUAUGUGAAGGUUAAUGGAGAGCCCAACAAGUAGUGGAACAUAGAAAGAAAAGAAGACUGCUUUUCAGAGAAAGGAAAAUAAAUGAAUCAGUUAGCACCUUAUGGAUUGUCUUAGUUUCAGCAGACAGAAUUGUUUUCUUCAGAGUGUCCGAUAUGAUGCUUUGUUUUCUUUUUAGGAGUUGAUACACAUUGAUGUUCAUAUAACAAAGUUGAUAACACAUUGAUGUUCAUAGUUGCUGCUAAGCAGCAUUGUACAGAACCAAGACCAUUCCAGUUUCUCAGUGCAUGAGCUGAGUAUGGAUGAUCUCAGAACUGCUGACAUACACUGGCCAAAGGGAUAUUCCAUACCAUAUGACAUCAUGCAGGAAGAGUUUUGAAUGCAGUGAGAGCUCAGCUCUCCCUCUUCUGCUCAUUGGGGCCUAACUGGUCAUCUGUCUGUGGGUGGCGAGCAUUUGCUUGUGCAUUACUUUUUAUAAACAUUCAUAUAUAUAUAUAUAUUUGUCACAAUCAUUAUCCUUUUCAUUUUCUGUAUAUUAGUAAAUAGUUUUAUCUCAACCCAGGAGUUCUAUAUAUUUUUUUUUCCUUUUGAUUCUUGUCCCCACCCCACUGGGAAUAGGGGGAGUGAGCAAACAACCAUGUGGUGCUGAGCCACCUGCAGGGUUAAGUAGAAAAAUAGAGCAAUAUGAGCAUAAGAUUAAAAACAGAAGUAUACUUACAUGUCAUAUGCUGUGGCAAAUAAAGGAUUCCUUCUGUCUUUCUGCAAAUAGCUCCAAAACUAAACAAGAAACCAGAAACUCGUAGGUAAAUGCAACCCUAACAGGUCUUGAAAACUCAGCAGAAACUCUGUCAAAACCUCAAUCAUUCUCCUUAAUAUACUAAAUUAUUGAGAUUCUGAUAUAGUUUUCUCAGGAGACAGUGGAAUAUUGUCUUCAAACUUAAUGGGGAAAUACAGAGACGUUUAACUUAAAAUGACAGUUGAAGUUAUUUGUACGGUAGGCUUCCUUUCAGGAGUAAAAAAUACAAUAAUUUUAUAAAGAAAACAGUUAUUGCAGCUCAUAUCAUUUUAGGCGAAUUACAGUUUUACUAAUUGGCAGAUUCUUUUCAUUUGUGGGGAAUGCAUGCUACAUAGCAACUAUAUAGUAAAAUAUAGAAAAUAGUAUAUGAUAACUUGGGCUUUGCUCCCAUUUGAAAUCACAAGCAAUGUUCCCACUGAUUUGACUCUGAGAGGCAAACAGCAUUGACUGGAGGCUGAGUCAAAUAAUAGUCCUUACGAACCUCAUUUGAGUAAAUGACUAACAUAAAGAAGAAAUUAUUUCUGAGUAAGCAGCAAGCAUGAGAUCAAGCUAUCCUGACCCUUAUUUGAUCUUUCUGACAUUCAUUACAGUUGUCUUUUGCUUAAUGAUUUGGCUUGUGCUGUGAGACUGGUAUGUGUUUAGCCACAUUCUUCCUGGCUGUAGCAGAAAUGAGGACUCCUUUCUGACCUCCAGAAAUGGUGAGUGGCUGAGGACCAGGCAAGAGAAGCUGCUGCACUACACGUUUUUCAGAACAGUCAUUUUCCUCAUUGCCACUGAAUGUUACUAUUACACAGUACAGCUGAAAAAUGAAGGAGAUUACAGAUCUCCUAAAUAUGCCUUUUUUAUAUAAUGCUUCUUCUGGGCUCAUAGGUGGUCUUUGACCUAGACUGAAUGAUUGUUUAAUAAUGCAUGGAGUUUUACCUGACUAACUAGAGAAUUAUUGCCUUCUAUUUUCAAUUCUCUGAGAGAAAACAGUCUGUAUUAAGGUCGGUAAAAGAUAAGACUACAUAGAGAAAAGUUUGCAGAUUUGGUAUAUGAUGACACUUCAUAUUCUAAAGAGUGACCAAUAAAAUUUUCUCUGAGGUUUUUUGAAUCCAUUUUCUAAACUCCACUGAAAUGGGAGACCAAGCCCCGUGGAACAAGUCUUCAGUGCCAGAUUGGAUUGAAGACUGUGAAUAAAGAAUUUUUUAUUUGGACUAAGUAAUCCAAACAACAGAAAAUUAUUGCAAACUUUGUUUGAAUUAUUCCUCAUGGAUCUUAUUUGUAUGUUCAUGUUGCUUAUAUGGAAGAUUUGUUUCUCUUUCAUUAUUUUGUUAACAGAAGGGCAGAUUAACAAUUGUUGAUGUUAUUUGUAUUUUGUUCAACUUGCAGUCUUCCGCCAGUUGUACACAGGUGUAGUGGCUCAUGGUAAGACUGGAGCUAUAGUGGGAUCUGAGAAGUUUGCUCACAGCGAGUAGGAACAUCCAGAUUUAUGUUUUUCAUGGCUUGGGUGGAGCUGAGGGUACAUGAAGGUUAUAAGAGCAGCAGUGAGACACUGGUAAAGGAAGCUGUUGGCUGAGCAAUGAGAAUAAUGCUUUUUAAUUCACAAUCUAAUAAAGUAAAGUAAGCUGAGGUGUGCAUACUGUGCCGUCCAGUAGGCUGGCAGGGAAGCAGUGCCUCACACACAUCAUGAGAUAUUUAACAGCUGCUUGUGAGAGAGAAUAUUUCAUGGGGACUUUUGGAAGCAUUUUGUUUCAGGGCCAUGAUUCUCUCCUGUUUUGCAUCUAAAACACUUGCAUACAAGUGGAACCGCUGCUCCAGCCUGGUAAUAGAAGGAGAGAAAAAUCCUAAAAAUGGCUGCAAUGAUGAGCUACAUACUCUAGAUUGUACAGAGACAAGCCAUGACACAAGUACUCCUCUUUGCUGGCCAUGCUUAGCUCAUCAUAGAUGUGACACAGGUUGUUCCCACUGAGCAUGAUGUACACCAACCCACGCUCUUUGGAGAUAUCUCCCCAUUCAUUGCUGAGGAAAAGCUGUUGCUCUGGCUCAAAAUCACGUCUGGCAGCAGUUAUUUGACUAUAGAAUUUUCCUCUGUAUAAUAUGAGGUUUGAGACCAGUCAUUAUUUUGUACUAAAGUUGAUUUUGUGUGAUUCUGUGUGAUUUUUCUUUUUUCCAGUGGUAAAAUUAAAAGGAUGAAUGUUUUAAAAUUGGUGCUAUUUUAAUCUGAAACAAUAAUAAAAAGGAGCAGUAUUCCUUGUUGUAGUCCUUCUAAAAUGCAGUCUUUUUGUCUAAUUUCAGAUGAACGUAAAAGCUUGAACCUUUGGAAUUUUUUAGGAUCAGUGUGGUCCCUCUGCUUCAGCACCUGUGCCCCCUCUCAGAAGGAGCAGUGCUAACCUACCAGAGUCCACAUACUGUAAAGUAAAGGUCUUUUCAUAAUGUAAUUACUGAAGCUUUAAAUGUGUGAAGAAUGAAAGUGCUGGUUAUCCAAAUAUCCUGGAGAAAGACAGACAGGGUCAUACAAUUUUGAAAAGGAAACACAUGUACCAUGAUUAGAUUUAAUAAUAUGUUCAGCAAUAUUCCAUAAUAUUGUAUUUCUCCAGUAACAUUCCUUAUUAUGAAAGAUAAUAAAUUGAGAGCCAUGUAAAAUAUCACUGCCCAGUCAACUUAAGAAAAUAAGGAAUAAUUUGAAAAAGUCAUUGCCUACUCUAAGGUUCUUGACUUAUAUGAUUCUUGGCAUCACACAAGAAAGCCUCUAGUCCUGGAGUUUGAACUUGAAAAUGUGACACUGUUAUUUCAUUUGUGGUUUUUAUAUGGAAUAAUAGGGGUGUCAGAUAACCCAGAGAAACUUCCCUCUCCCCAAAUAAAGUGCUUUUCUUUGGGAAUAGGUAGGCACAGGCCAUCAUCUUGCAAACACUUACACUUGUGUUUAGUAUAACAACUGUGAGGAGUCCUAGUGAUUUCAGUGAGACCACACGCAGUAGAAAAAUUAGCAUGGAUUGAAAAAAAACACUUGCAAAUUCAGAACAAAGAAUCUAGACUAUCUGGACAGAUCCCAUAAAACUAGAUAGUUGACUUCAACUAGUGGGCUAAAUUUCAUAAAGUAUGAGGAAAGCUGACAUUCCAUUCUAUAAAAAAUUUCAAGCUGUCAAAAAACUUGGCAUUGUUCCAAAUGGGGUCAAACUCUCAAAGACUACAAUUUUCUAAGGCAAAAAAAAUCUGUUCAACGUUGGCAUUUCUUAUUAUUGCUUAAAAAACAUCAGCCAAUAAAAUUAAAAACUAUACAACUUUGUAUGAAAUAAGAUAUUGCAACACUGCAAAUUUUCCCAGUUACCACCAGAGAAUUGUAUUUGACUCUAAAUUUCCUACAGUAGUUACUCAGACUCGCUGUGUGUACUAUACCAAAUAACCAUAAACAACUGCUAGGAAAGAUGGGUAUAGAGGACUAAAGAAAGAUUGAAGUUCAAGUUUUUAGUGAGAAUGAACACACCAUGCAAUGGAACAUAAGCAACAGGUGCCCAAAGGUUAGAUUUUAGAUACAGGCAUAAAAGGCAAUAGUUAAUUAUCAUAAAACAUAGAACAGAAUUUGAAUUGUCUUGCUCAGGUUGGGACAUCCAUUGAAUCCAAUGUUCUUGGUUCUGAAGACCCUUGGACCCACCUAGCAUGGCUAUAGACUUUGAGGUCUGGCACUCAUUGGGAUAUCUGUGGACAACAUUCCACUUCACAGGGUAGGUUUCUGCAAGCUAAAAAGAAAAAAAAGAACAACCCCCAAACAAAACUGUAAACGAAAUGAAGGAAGUGGAGGCAGCUUCAAGCUUCAGCUUACUGCAGUACCCUCGGAUUUGAUCAGCUUAAUAUGUGACUCUGAGGAUAUGCUGAGUGAAAAGGAAAAAAAUAUGUUUGAAGAAGCUUCUAGGAAGUAAACGUUUCCCUGAGGAACAAUAUGAUAUCUCAAGGAAAACCUGCCUUAAGAUUAUUGGAGGGACUGAAUAAACACAGCAAGGCUGCAGUUAGACACAAAGCUGCAUCUUAGUCUGAAAAUCCUGGAGGUCUCCAGAUAAAUACACCACCUUAACAAUCCUGGUUUUGAAGAACUAUUGUAUGCUAUGGAAUAACAAGCCUGCUUUGGUUAUCCUGUGCUUUCAUGCAGUAUGGAAGAUAUCACAAAUCAUCUGUCCAGAUGCAGAAGUCUGUAUUUAUAAACUUCUGAUAAUGUCGGUUCACAUGAGCUCAGGUUCUGAAUGUCUUAAACUCUCUUCAUAUCUGGCAAAGUCAACGCUGUGAUUCAUCAUUCCACCCUGAUUUAGUAAUCUAAAACAGAUCAAUUAAGCUUCAGGCAGUGAGAAAUGUUUAGAAAGGACAGUAGAAUCUGAAAGACAGAUAAAGUAUAUCCCAUCCUGUAUUCUAGUGCAAUAAAGAUGUUUUGUUACACUAUGAAAAUCCAAUAUUAAUUGCAAAAGGAAAGGAGUGCUUAUAAUAUACAUUACCUUAACUGGAAUAUGUUUGCUUUAUGCUGAAACUUAUUACUAUUUUUAUUUCUAGCAAUUUUUUUUUUUUUUGGCACUUAAGUAAACUUAGAAUGAAGAAAUUUUAAAGCAAUGGUUCCGACAGCCAAAAUGAAAGCAGAAAUAAAAGGUUUUGGAGAGAAUAUAGAGAGGACUAGCAAGUAUGAUUAAGGGGGACAGAGAAACUUAUUUAUGAAGAAAGAUUAAAGGAGUAAAAUAUGUGUAUGUACAUUGGAGAUUAACUAAGUGGCUCAUAAGAAGCAUAACUAUCUUCAAGUAUUUGAUGCAUGUAAACACCAAGAAUGGAGAGGAAAUGAUUAUUUGGAUGCACUUAAAUGGGGAAAGAUUCUGACUUUAAAGUCUGAUACUGUUUUGCUUCAAUGUUGCCAGGAAAGAUCUAUAUGCUGAAAGAGGACGACACUGGAAAGGGAAAAAUUUAUACACUGGAAGAAGCAUGAAGCCAAAAGGAUUUCAGAAAUUAUUCAAAAAACACUAUAAAUUUUAAUACCAAAUAAGAGUUAUGUAAACUUUUGAACCAGCCUAUAAAACUCAAUAGAACAGUAUGACAGCACUAAACGGGUAAUGGAUUCAAUUUCUUGUUAAAGUUUUCUUUUCCCACAAGAAAAUAAAAUGCACCAUUUUGAAAGAUCCUGGAAGAUGAAGUGAUCAGCUGGUUGACCUAAGAUGACAAACUAGUUCCUUUCCACGUAUGAUUUUGAUGCUCUGCAAAUAUCCUAGUAAAUGCUGGCCCCAGAAAGUGGUUCACUCAGUCUGUUACACACUUUGACAGGUUAUAUAGCAGUUAAUAAUUAAGUGAAAGGAAGUUCUGUAUAAAAAAAUCUGCCAUCAUAUACGAAAUAUGUAUGUUCCAACUCUCUAUGUAGAGUCCACUGGUGUGGCUAUAAGUGGUAUCUUUGCUGACCAAUAGCACUGCUGGCAAACUAUCAGGUAAUUGUAAGUAUGUAUUUACCAGAGAAAAAAAGACCGGUUUACGUGCUUCUGUUUGUGAGACACAGUUGUGGCUGUACUGCUCUGCUGUGCUGAGCCCAGAUCCUCUAUCUUGCUGUAGGAUAAGCCUGGUUCUACCUAUAUCUAGGCAGAAAUUUGUUUAAAAGAGUCACAUGAAGAAUCCAUGUUCUUUAGUCAUUUAUAUAGUUUGUCAGAACAAGAUUUAAAUAUUGUCAGUCAUCUUGAAUUAUAACUAGUUUACAGCUUGUGCUCUGAACCCAUCCAUCCUUUUGAUCUUUUUACCUUAAGAAUGCAACUAUGUGGGAAAUAACUUUAAAGUGAAUGAUACACAUCUGACAGACUUUAAGGAAAAAUAAGUAAGAAUUCAGAAACAUUCCAUGUAAAGAAAAAAAAAUGUACCUUUUUAGAAAUGAACUGUUGUGCUCAUUCAUUGCAGAAUUUAAGUAAGAGUAAUGUUUUACCUCCUUCUUAGCAGCAAAGAAGCAACAUCAGAUGAGGGAGACGUAUCUGCACAUUUUUACAUCUCACAAAUAAUCAGCAGGUUAGAGACAAUAAAACAACUUACCUAAAAUAGAAUACUGGAAGGUUUAAGGUGUCUAUGUUGAAACUGUUACUGCGUUCAGUGCCUGCCCAACCAGAGUGUCAUUUAAACAUAACUGUCUUCCAUGUUUGCUCUGAAUCUUUUUGAGAUCACACAGUAUUCUGUUUCUGACCAUUCGCAGAAGGGCUCAGGGUGAAGCGGGCAUGUACCUCUGUCUGACUUAAACAGUCUGGGAAUCCAGAAGAUAAAUGGUAGUGUUAGCUUAUAGCACAGACCUGGAAAGUGCACUCAGACAAACGUAGUAUAUGCCAAUAAAACUGGAAACCUUUCAGAAGGAGACAACUUUUUACAUCUGCUUUGACCUCAGGUAUUUUAAACUCUAAUUUCUGAGGAGGCACACCUUACCCACUGGGUCCCAGGCUAGUCUACAUAGCUGUACAGAUGUGCACUACAACUGCAAAACUCAUUAAGAUUCAAGGAGAUAAAUGAGGAAGGAAACAAUUUUUAUGGAGCAAGCAGGAUUCUGGCCUUUGUCUUUGCCCCACACAGUUUGUAUGUCUAUUUUUCAGUAAAUAGUAGAACUAAGAAUAAUCCUAUGUUCCAUUAUUAACAUCUCAUCUUCAACAGUGGUUAUGUUUUUUUAAAAAAACGGAGCCUUUGAAACAAAAAUUGAAUUACCUUGAUGGUCUGUGGACACUGAGUGGAUGGAAAUAACCACAGUCUUCCACUGUGACAGAGUGCCUCAACUACAUAGGUUGGCAUUAUCUGACUUUCAAAAUUAUGAGUUAGAUUCUAGAUAACUCCAUAAUGUUUCUACUUUGUUAGUCCUCUCACAUAACAUCAUCUGUUCUCUGUAGGUAACAGCUCUCUAAUCUUGGCUUUGGAUUCUACUUUGUGGGCUAGAUGUCUGAAACCAUUGUGAGGGUCUGUGAGCACCUCUACACCUUUCUGGAACAUCCUGUGGGGAACAAGAGUUCUAAUUGAAGCACUUAAGACGUGCUCAGCACUUUUGCUUUAACUACUUUUGUCAUUUGUCUUUCUGGCAUCUCUAGAGUUCAUUGAAAUUUCUCUUGUAAUUCCUGAAAGUUUAAUUUGGACCUCAGUCUCCCCAAGGAAAUAUUGCUAAAGGUCAGAAGUAGGCUUAAAUCAUAAAGUUUCCAGGAGAGGGAAUCUAGGAAUUUCUCUCAGUUCCAUCUUUAACACUGUAGUAGAAGCCAGUGACAACAGGGCUUUGUAUUCCAGAUAUCAGACUGAGAAUGUGGUCUUGGCAUGUUGAAUAAUGUAAUUUGUGUACAUAUAAGCAAAGAAAAUAUUGAUAGUGAAAUAAUUAUGAAUAUAUAAAUGUGAGACAGUAGGAAGCCAUGUUUAAAGGCAUUUUUCAGUUUAUAACCACACUUUUAAGAAUUUCCUGUCUUUUCUUUUAGCCAGACACAUGGGAUUAUUUUAGCGUACUUUUAUUUGUGUGUUGUUUCCUUUACAUUUUUGUUUGAGCAGAAGAGGAUGGGAAUAAAAAUGCAGUCUUCAACAAAGUUUUACAAAGUUUAUGAUUCUAGGCUGUAGUAAUUCCCCUAUGUACACUUAAAACAAUAAUAAAAAUGCAAGCACCAUAUUUUGAAAAGUUAUUAUGACUUAUUAUGUAAACAGAUGAUGAUAAAACAUUCUGAGUUAUUAUUCAAACACAAUACAUCAUAAUUGUUUCUUUGGAGACACUAUAUAUUUCUGUCAUGGGCUUUACUUACAGGAUUCUUUGUAAAACCUUCAUAAAGGUAAUUACUUUGUAUUCCCAUCAUCACAUUUCAAAAAUAGUGAUCUCAGCCUCUGAACAUGUAAACUCUGAAACAAAAGAAGAGUCCUAUUGUCUUCUUGUGUAAACAAAGCUUGUUUACAAGGUUGGGCCUUCCAACACUAAGCCUUACUCUCAAUACACAUGAUUAUACAGGUUUUCUAGAUAUAAAUGUGAACUCACAGAUGGUGGUUUCAGGCCACUUAAUCUUAAUAAGCUAGUUUAUUUGAUGAAAAACUUAGGAGCUGACUUUGUAUUUUUAACAUAUUUAUGGGAAAUGGAGAAUGAGUAUCUGAAGUUGAUAACUUCCCUUUGCAAAUUCUGGUUGAUACACAGGGCUUAACAAAUAUAGGUAGUAUCUUAUUCCACACUGAAUGGAAUAAAAAAUCACUUGUCUUUUGUUAAUAUAAAGUUCAUAAUUAAAUUAUUCUUGAAAUACUGUCAGACAUUUCAGCAAAAGAACAAAAAACAAAAGUUCUAUUUAGUGUGGAUUGGUGUUGUGAUAUACUUAAUAUCUACUUCAACAUUGAAUUAAAAGAUUCAGAAAUCUAUCAUAAUAUGCUUCAAAAAAAGAUCAAAGACAAUGAAUAAAGUUGGCAGAAUAUGUUUGCUUUUACAUGGAAAUUACUGAAAUAAAAGAUUAAAAUAUGUAUUGAUAUUUACUAGCACUAUUUUCCACUGAAGUAAAUGGGUAAACUCUUGGGCUUGAUAUUUCUAAGCCCUUGCUGGUUUGAUACUCCAUGUCUUCUUACUUGCAUUGAUACAAAUAUAGGAAGUACCUAUAGAUUGCAUAAAUGUUGAUCAUAAGUGUUGUUUCAGGAUGAAAUGUAUUGUCUGUUUCUGUGAAGCUAAUGGCUUUUUGGUCACACAGCUUAAAGUGAUGUGAAGAUUGUCAUGUUUGUCAUGAAGAUUGUCAAGUUUGUCAUUACUUCUGAACUCCCAAAAUAAAUUGAAAUAAAUAAAGGUUUUUCUUCUAAAUCAGAGGAUGGUUCUUACUUAUUUAGUAUGAUGAUCUGUAAAAUGUCAUCAAAUGCACUGUAAAGAGAGGGAAUUGAUGGCAAAUCCUUACUAAGAUGUUGCAAAGUAAGUAGGAGGGAAGGAUCCUUGUGUUUAGAAGGACAGUUUUUUAUUUACACGCACACGUAUAUGUUUUGAGGUUACUAAAGAACACCCAGCUAUAUCUUCAACUUCAGUUAGCAGGAGUUUCUAUUACAUUUUAACACAGGAUGGGUGAGAAAAUGUUUCAUUUUAUACGCAUGUGUAUACACACAGACAUUCCAAAAGACACAAACCAUUUCAGAAAUGACAGUUUCCUCGCUGUCCAAUUAGGUGAAUUGAAUGUGAUUAUGUUGUAGUUCUCAGGGCUCUAAUUGCACAUAAAAACUUCCAAAUCACAACACGUGGUAUUUCCAUCCAAAACAAAGGGAGAAUUAUUAAAAUGUGGUGGGAUUUCAUGUAACACUGGCAGACAGCUUAGAUGGCAAUAAUUUAACACUUGCACCAUGAAAUUAAAAUUUACGUUCACUCUGUGCAAUUCUUCAGACCAGCAGCAGACAGUUGUAUUUUUUUUAAUGAGAGCAGGGAGAUUUAAUUACUUGAAUUUAACUAGAAAAACCUUUCCAUUGCUUGAUGACAGAGGCAAUAAUAUUGGCACAGAUUUGCAGAUGCUUUUUGAGCCUGCUUUCCAUAUUCUCCAUAGCUCUGCUUUGCAGCAUCCAUGUUUCUGAAGGCCAUGAACAACCACAUAGAUUCUUCCACAGAUUCGGAGCAAUGCAUGCAAAUUCCAGCUGCCCAUAAAUCAUUGUCUGAAAGGCAAAUGUUAUGGCUGCUAUAAGCAUUUCAAGUAAGUUCCAAAACUUUCAGCAUUGUGUCUUUCUGAACAGAAUUUGUACAAAUUAUACUACUAUGUCUUCUCAAAAAUCCUUCUCUUUUGCAACAAUUCCUUCUGUAAUGCAUUAUUGUCAAUGUAACGAAUGCUAAAGAAUUGAGCUGUAACUCACCAAACACAAACUACAAAAAUACAUUUGUUUUUUAUUGCCAUGAGGUCUGGUAGAAUAGAAUUACCAAGUUUUCUUUUAUACAGAAACAUAUAUUUUCCAGACAGUUUAGAGAAAAUUGAAGCUAGAAUGCUAUCCUAAGGCUACAUGUAAGUCUAAGUUGAGGUUCAUAUAAGUACUUAAGAUAAACAUUUUCUAUACUCAGUUAGACCACGAUAUAAAGAGAGGGAUGAAUGGCAGAUGAGCAUUGCUCUGUGCAAGUUGGUUCAACAGCAAAGGUAAGAACAGCAGAUGUGUACUGGAGAUCAGGAAGACUACUAUUGUGUGAGUACUGUAAUAAGGCUAAAAUCAGAAAAGAUUAUUAUUAUUUUUAAAAAGAUUUCUCAGUGAAUUUGGGCAUUUGUUUCCUUUAAGAAAGAGUAAACUAUAGACACGUCUGAUUUCAUUGUCUCAGCAGUACAGGGACACGGUACUACAGCCCAGGAAUACAUCAUCCCUUUAACAUUUGCAUGAUGCUUCUGAAAAAGUAAUGGAAAUUAUCUGCAUUGUUUUAUGUUUUAUAAUCAACCACUGAUCUCAGUUUAAGGACUAAGCAAACAACUCUCAGGGAUAGGAGAGAACGGAGGAAAAGGAGAUACCCUCCUACAACCCACCUUUUAAUAUUUAUGCUUGAAAUGGAAAAUACAGAUGUUGCAGAAGUACACAUCUGGGACAUUGUUUCCAUAUUUUUGACAGAGAAUAAUUUUCACUGCUUUUCAUCCAAGUGGCUUAAAAUCAAUGUUUUUGUUCAAAAUAAAAUUGCAUGAAUACUUUUGCUGAUCUUGCAAUCUGUACUGUUGUACUUAUUUCUUUUCUCCCCAGAAGCUUUGUAGGAUUCUUGUCUGGUUUAUAGGGUUUAGGCUGUUUUCUCCUUUCACCACUGUUCCAGUGCUCCAUUUGCAAAGUGUUUAGAUUACAGCAGACGCGAACUUCCUCUGUCUCAGAGCCAGCAAUGAAUCAGGCUGAGAGCUGGGACCACUGGCUGUCAGAGGACCCUGAAAAGCUGCAGCUUUAAAAUAACAAGUAUUUGACAGCUCAGUUUACAAAGCUGCAGAUUGUAGUUAUAUUGUGCUAUGGGGCUACAUAUGACAUAAUAACUUGGGACUUAAAGUUAUUUAGUCUCUUUCCUCUCACCGUAAUUUCCAGUAAAUAAAUCUCUCUGGGACAGGAGGUCUGUUGAGUUGUACAAUGCUUGCAUUUUCUUCACCACAGCUUGUCCUCUCUCUUUCCUAUUUUAUACGUUAAAAAACCUCAGUGUCUGGUAAUCGCAUUUCUAUAACACUUCCUGUUGAAAGAGACAGACUAAUAUAAAUACAUACAGUGUGUAUUUUUAAAUUUUUAUUAGUCAAGGUAUUCAUUGCAAGUCUUCCUAUCAAAAUCUCUUCAGAAAAUCCUUUAUGGACAGAGCUUAAUGCUGUGUAGUUGGAGUGGAACAUGGGCAAACUUUUAAAAUGCUUUAAAUGGUGCUUUAGAAAAAGAGCUGCGCUCACAAGAUUAUUGUGAGUUGUAUUUUACAAAAUUAGCCGACAGAGGUUCCAUCAAUAUAGAUUCACCUGAACUGAAAAAAACAGAACUGAAUAAAACGUGGCAACUGGAAUGCUUGUUUUUCUCCAAAAAUAAGAUAUUGUAGAAUGAAGGAAACAGUGUCUUUACAUUAACACAUUUGCUCUAAGAGAACUAGCUAUUUUUGCUGCAGUCCCUUUCCAGUAACAAAAUGGUAAGAAGUGCCAAUGUUUUCCUGAUUUAAUUUUCCUUUUACUAAUAUUUAGGCUUUCAAAGAAGCCCAAGGGAUAUGGUUGCUCAGUUUACACUAGACAUUCAAAUCUCCUUGCUUUUGAAAUCCCAUGUCUAAUUUCAACUUUUUUUAAUUAUUAUUUUUUUUUAAAGGUCUUAAUUCUUCAGAGUCUCUUUACACUAUUUUUGUUGUAACUCUAAAAAAGGUUUAUUAAGGUUUGGGGAUGUAUUUUACAGGUAAGAUUGCAGAAGACUUAAAAAUCUUUAUCCUUGCAGGUUUUUUUGUGUUUUUUUUUUCUUCUUUGGAAUAUAGGACACUAGAUACAAUGGACUACAACAGUCAAUAAAUGUUGUAUAAAUGUUGUAUUGUAUAGUACAUGCAUGGAUUCCUUGUAACAUCAGCUUUCUUCAGUUGAGUUCAUCAUCUUAGGCUCCAUCUGAAGUCUCUGCAGACUUGAUUAGGGUAUGGUUUCUCUGGCCUAUUUUAAGUGUUUACUUUAGAAUGAUAUGAAUCACAAUCUGAACUACUGAGUAGAUUUCCACUGUCUGUCAAGAGAACCCAGUGUUGACAUCUACAUCAAAUCAGAUUAUUUCUACUCUUAAAGCUGAACUAUUCUUAAAGUCUAGGAGAAUCUCUAGCCUUGAGUUGAGCAGUUCUGGUUCUCAUUGCCACCAACGUCAAAAUGAACACUGUCUCGAUGUAUUGAUGCUUUUCAGAAGAAUCACAGUGAAACAUAAC
rnacentral:lncRNA from 1 species